CGUGGUGGGCCGUUUUUUAAGGCCGUCGGAAAAGCGCAGUAUUCAGGUGGGAGUGACCCGAUUUUCCAGGUGCCGUCUGUUACUCCUUUCUUUGACUAGGAAAGGGAACUCCCUGACCCCUUGCGCUUCCCGAGUGAGGCAAUGCCUCGCCCUGCUUUGGCUCGCGCACAGUGCGCGUGCACCCACUGACCUGUGUCCACUGUCUGGCACUCCCUAGUGAGAUGAACCCGGUACCUCAGAUGGAAAUGCAGAAAUCACCCGUCUUCUGCAUCGCUCACGCUGGGAGCUGUAGACUGGAGCUGUUCCUAUUCGGCCAUCUUGGCUCCUCCCAGAGGAAAGUACUUUCAAGCUUGCCUGAGGUCUGAGAAGCUGAGCUUUCUGCAGUGGUCUCAGUGGAACCUUUGACCAGAGCAUUCGAAGGGUGCCUUUCCUGUUUCCUUUCUCGGCAUUGAAACAUCAAGAUACGGAAUCCAGAAGGGUCACCAGAACCUGGCCCUCUGCAAUCUGGACUCGAGGCUGCAGACUUGCUGUUGAACUGGGCUGGGCAGGAGGGCAGAGUGGGCACCAGGGCCCACCUUCCUGGGGCCCUGAAAGGGUGGGAUGGUGUGUACUGGUCCCCUCACCCAAAUGCAGGUGUGGGAGGAGGACAUCCAUCAUGAUGCUACAUGGCAUUUGCUUCACCACCAGGAGAGAGUGUUGCAACCAUCACCUGAAUCCUG
rnacentral:lncRNA from 1 species